rnacentral:rRNA from 1 species
UACGUAGGGGGCAAGCGUUAUCCGGAUUUAUUGGGUUUAAAGGGUGCGUAGGCGGGCUGUUAAGUCAGCGGUCAAAUGUCGGGGCUCAACCCCGGCCUGCCGUCGGAACUGGGUGCCUUGAGUGGGCGAGAAGUAUGCGGAAUGCGUGGUGUAGCGGUGAAAUGCAUAGAUAUCACGCAGAACCCCGAUUGCGAAGGCAGCAUACCGGCGCCCGACUGACGCUGAGGCACGAAAGUGCGGGUAUCGAACAGG